GGAGGCCCUGGAGGGCGCUGGCGCCACCGUCACCCUCAAGUGAUGAUCUCCUGAUCGCUUACGCGAAAGGACCCCCGGAUCUCUCCGGGGGUCCUUUUCCA
rnacentral:tRNA from 1 species